rnacentral:rRNA from 1 species
UACGUAGGGGGCAAGCGUUGUCCGGAUUUAUUGGGCGUAAAGAGCGUGUAGGCGGUUUGGUAGGUCCGCUGUGAAAACUCGAGGCUCAACCUCGAGACGCCGGUGGAAACCAUCAGGCUAGAGUCCGGAAGAGGAGAGUGGAAUUCCUGGUGUAGCGGUGAAAUGCGCAGAUAUCAGGAGGAACACCGAUGGCGAAGGCAGGUCUCUGGGCCGAUACUGACGCUGAGGAGCGAAAGCGUGGGGAGCGAACAGG